rnacentral:rRNA from 1 species
AUAUCAAUAAGCGGAGGAAAAGAAACCAACAGGGAUUGCCUUAGUAGCGGCGAGUGAAGCGGCAAAAGCUCAAAUUUGAAAUCUGGCACCUUCGGUGUCCGAGUUGUAAUUUGAAGAUUGUAACCUUGGGGUUGGCUCUUGUCUAUGUUUCUUGGAACAGGACGUCACAGAGGGUGAGAAUCCCGUGCGAUGAGAUGCCCAAUCCUAUGUAAGGUGCUUUCGAAGAGUCGAGUUGUUUGGGAAUGCAGCUCUAAGUGGGUGGUAAAUUCCAUCUAAAGCUAAAUAUUGGCGAGAGACCGAUAGCGAACAAGUACAGUGAUGGAAAGAUGAAAAGAACUUUGAAAAGAGAGUGAAAAAGUACGUGAAAUUGUUGAAAGGGAAGGGUUUGAGAUCAGACUCGAUAUUUUGCGAUCCUUACCUUCGUGGUGGGGUGACCCGCAGCUUAUCGGGCCAGCAUCGGUUUGGGCGGUAGGAUAAUGGCGUAGGAAUGUGACUUUACUACGGUGAAGUGUUAUAGCCUGCGUUGAUGCUGCCUGCCUAGACCGAGGACUGCGAUUUUAUCAAGGAUGCUGGCAUAAU